AGGGCGCUAGGCCUAGGCCCCCCCCCAGCUCCCCCGUGCCAAACUGCAGAGGUAUCUGUGGGGAUCGUGGUGCCUUUAUCUAGGUCUGGUUCAAUUAGCAAAGUGUGGAGAAAGACUAGUGCCUAUGGAAAAGCUGCGUUUUGCCAGUUCGUGAUUCAGGACCUCGCCCUCCUCUGCCACUUGGAACCCAGGACUUCAGAGGCUUCUCUCCAUAAAACCUCCCGGUAAAAGAAGAAAGAUUCUACGAGUUUCUAAAGCAAGCCAUAAACUUUGACACUCAAGCCCUGAACAACUGAUCCAGCAUGCAGACUUAAGAAUCCAGGGUACAGGCCAGAUGCGCGGGCGAGUGAGAGGAUUCACCAGUGACAGAGUGGGGAACAGAACGGACCAACAGAUGAAAUUCACUGCUGAGGGGAGCAGCAGGCAAGACAGGAGAGGUCUGCUUUGCCAUGUGGGAUUCUCGCCUGCCGACUGGGAUCGAAACCUCGCUGCAGUGGCUGCGGACAGCUUCACAGAGCCGCACUCAACUGCCUGCACCACCAGGGAAGGCCCGAGAGGGGUUUCUUAAUGGGUGCUAUUCCUCUUUGACACAUUUAAACAGAUAUGGAAUGUAAUACUUGAAUUUUACUAUAAAAUAUUUUCAUUGCAACAAAAAUUGUUACACAUUAGUUCUCAAAGCUUGUAAAUCCAAGCAAAAUAUACUAAAAGUUUAAUGUGAACAAAAAUAAUAAAAAUGGCAUCCAAACUCAUUGUGAGUUUCCCUAAAUCAUAUCUAUCAACUUAUUUCUCAUGACUAUAAGAAAACUGUGAUUUUAUUCCUUCCUAUGUAUUUUUUGCCAGAGUUAGAGAAAUUGAAAAUGUGCACCAAAAUUUUAGAAAAAGGUAUAAUUCAGUGAGGAAACUACAGAAUGUAGAAAUAAUGAAAAAAUGUCCUUCAGUCUUAUCUUUAUAUUUAUUUUAUAAAUAUGCCUAUCAUUUUAAAGUCCCUCAAGCCAGUCUUCUGUUAUUUAAAAGUAUACACAAAGAUUGUAUGUUCUUCUCACAUUUAUCAUUAUUUUUAUUGCUUACAUCUAUUAUAUAUUUAUAUUACUUUUUCAUUAAUUGUACUUAAAUUAUGCUCUUUCAAGAGGUAUGGUUUUCAGACUUCUUUGAAAACUGGGUUAGAAUUGAACCCAGAAAUCACUUCCAUUCACAUUCUCCCAUGAUAAGUAAAUGCUAUCAGCUUCUGGAAAUUAAUUUUUUACUGUGUUAUAGAAAUGUGAAAAUACAUCUAUACAUCAAAUAAUAUAACCAUCAUGGUUAUCUUCCUUGUAACUAGUCACUGUUUUGUUAUGAUAGACAAUUUAUUAAUUCAAGUGAAUAAAUGAGUAUUAUCUUACACAUUUUCCACCAGUUCUCUUUAGUGACAUAGUUGUAGGGAAACAUUGUUUUGAAGGAAGCUAUAGCAGGUGUUUCUUGCCCUCAAGAACAUUCUGUUUCCUAUCUGAAAUAAAGAGCCAACUUAUCUCAAAAAUUAAAUCUGGAGUUAUGUAAACUAUAUUCAAACUUAUGUUUAGUUGGAACAGUUUUCUCAGAUUAACUGUAUGGCAGCCACAAAGGGAUCCAGAAAGACUGCCCAAGAUUGCCUCCAGCAAUGAGAGAACAGAAAGCAUUCCUAGGAACCAGCAGAUACUUUGAAAACCCAUCUGGCUCCCCACAGCUCUAGCUGUGAAAUGCCUUUUAUUUUUCUGCUUGCCAGAAAUUGGACACAACUCUUUAAUUGGACUCUGAACUAUCUAAUACAGCUUAUCAAGUCCUCUGGUUGUUGCGGGGAAAAAAAAGGAGUUAUAGACCCUGAAACCAGACUGGAUCAAACAGAGCUGCAGGCAUACAUAUACAUGCACAACCCCCAAGAGAUGUUCACAAUCCUAGGCAACCACCAAGUUGCAACUGAUUGGUGCCCACAAUUAGUAAUAAGGAAUGGAUCUUACUAAACAAACAGAUGGACUUUGGCCAAGUCCACAUUCUUUGCUUUCUCAGCCAAUAAAGUGUCAAUCAUUUGUUCUCAAACUCCAGUCCUAAAACCUAUAUAGAUCCUAAGCUCUGGCAACUAGGGGGAGCCUCUACUGCCCGGAGCGGUCUCCCAGAGAUCUCUUUCCUUCAUCUUUCACUAAGUUGCUCUUUCAAUAAUCAAUCAAUGCUGACUCCUUUCUUGCCCUCAAAAAUAAGAAAAAAAAUUGAAUCUGAUUCUCUCUCCUUGUUUCCAUCAAGAGCUAAUUAUUACAAGCCUUAUCAGUAAGAAUUGAUGGAAUAUGGGAGAUGGGGCAAGAACUAAGAAAGUUUAUUUUUUGAGAUCAAAUUUUUGAUUUCUGUGACUUACAGGCAUCAUUCUUCACUAAAAUCUUGUUGACUGCUGUAGAUUUUCAAUAUUUAUUUCUGACAUGAAAUU